rnacentral:rRNA from 1 species
CCAAUAGCGUAUAUUAAAGUUGUUGCAGUUAAAAAGCUCGUAGUUGAAUUUCGGGAUUAGUACGCUGGUCGUGCCUUCGGUAUGUACUGGUGUUACUGGUUCCUACCUUCUGACGAACCGUCAUGUCAUUAAUUUGGUGUGGCGGGGAAUCAGGACUGUUACUUUGAAAAAAUUAGAGUGUUUAAAGCAGGCCCGCGCUUGAAUACAUUAGCAUGGAAUAAUGAAAUAGGACGUUCGAUCCUAUUUUGUUGGUUUCUAGGAUUGACGUAAUGAUUAAUAGGGAUAGUUGGGGGCAUUAGUAUUCAAUUGUCAGAGGUGAAAUUCUUGGAUUUAUUGAAGACUAACUACUGCGAAAGCAUUUGCCAAGGAUGUUUUCAUUAAUCAAGAACGAAAGUUAGGGGAUCGAAGACGAUCAGAUACCGUCGUAGUCUUAACCAUAAACUAUGCCGACUAGGGAUCGGAUGAUGUUAUUUUUAAUGACUCAUUCGGCGCCUUACG